UACGUAGGGGGCAAGCGUUAUCCGGAAUCACUGGGCGUAAAGGGUGCGUAGGCGGCUUGUCAAGCCAGAGGUGAAAGGCAUUGGCUCAACCAAUGUAAGCCUUUGGAACUGACGAACUUGAGUGCAGGAGAGGUAAGUGGAAUUCCUAGUGUAGAGGUGAAAUUCGUAGAUAUUAGGAGGAACACCAGUGGCGAAGGCGACUUACUGGACUGUAACUGACGCUGAUGCACGAAAGCGUGGGUAGCGAACAGG
rnacentral:rRNA from 1 species